rnacentral:lncRNA from 1 species
CUGGGAUGUCUGAUGGAGUGGAAUGGCUCUCUGUCUCGUCGAUCUAGGAGAAGCUCGGAUAUUUCUGUGGUCGCUGACGAGUCUACUGUUGUCGGAGGCCUUGGGUGCUGAGGCUACAGGUGAGAACCGUCUGCUGUAGAGGCUUGGAUGAAGACUUUUUGUUGGUGAAGUUCGGUAGGAGUCCAAUUGCUAGGGAAGUCCAUCUAG